GUCGCAUCGCCAUUUGUAUCCAUCCGAGUAAGGGUACAUUCAUCGGACCAGUUCUUCCUUCAGUUUUAGCAGUGGCUUCCAUACCGAAUCUAGGCUCUUCCUUUGGUGAUCAAAUAAGAAUCGCUUAUUACACUAGCGUGUUUUUUAUAAAGGAGAUAAACUAGUGUUACUCUACAAGGAGAUUACACAGGCAAAUAUGGACUUCUUAG
rnacentral:misc_RNA from 1 species